AUAAUACAGGAAUAGCCUUUGUUCGAUGAACUCCGCAACAGCCAAUAAUGGGCUGGCUGAGCGCCCAUGCCGCCAUGCGGGUUGAAUUGUUCCACUGGAGGACCGCAAGCAUGCAUCCGAACAUCCUCGAGGCCUGAUGCACCGAUAUCACAUCACCAUGCUUUUGCUACCAUGAGCAACUGACACACAAGGGAAGUGGCACGUUUCUCUGGAGUUUCCCCGGUCGAAUCACCCUUCAGCAGCUCAUCGAAGGCGUUUUUGAAUUACACCUUGGCAUAGUUAAUGCCCUGCGGUCAAUGUCAUGCUUCAUAGUCAGGGUUUUGAACGGCAAAGGGAUCGUCGUUAGGCAGACACUAGCUUCGUUGUUCACUGUACGGAAUUGGCGAACGAUAAUACACGGGCA
rnacentral:sRNA from 1 species